CUGUGUGGGGGUAUGGGCUCUAAGACCUUGUGCUACAAAGUGUUGGACAGAAAGAAACAAGCAGGUCAGAAAGAAAAAGGCCACAGACAGACAAUAAACGCAUAUGCAACAAUGAAAAAAGCGAGAGAAGCUGAAGUGAGAGAUGAAGGGCGGAGAGGGUCACAGUGAUACUUUGAAUUGACCACAGAACCUGUGAACUGUUGCUGCCACUGCUUCCGUGACGCCACAUCGUACAGUUCCUCAACUCAGCUACAGACCUACAAGAGGCACACACAGACAGAAAGUGAAAGAUGGACUCCUUUCAGAAGCCCACCGAUCUCCCCUAUCUCUGACAUGACGGAGGAAGCUUCUCACACAUCAUGCCAUGGAUGCCCAAGCCCACAUUCUGAGGGACCUAUUGGCCAAAAUCACCAGCAAGGAAGCAGGAGAGGAAGGAGCAGAGAACGGCUUUGCCGGAGAGUUUUUGAAACUGAAGAGACAGUCUACUAAAUACCGCACAGAGAAGACGUACCCCACCACAGCCGCGGACAAACAAGACAAUGCGAAGAAGAACAGAUACAAAGACAUUGUUCCCUUUGAUCACAGCAGAGUAAAACUCUCCCUCAUCACAUCCAAACAUGACACAGAUUACAUCAAUGCUAGUUUCAUUAAGGGAGUGUUGGGCUCUAGGGCAUAUAUUGCCACACAAGGCCCACUGCCAAACACUGUGCUUGACUUCUGGAGGAUGCUGUGGGAAUACAACGUACAGGUUAUUGUGAUGGCAUGCCGGGAGUUUGAAAUGGGAAGGAAAAAAUGUGAGCGUUACUGGCCAGAGUCAAAGGAUGAUGUGUUUGUGUGUGAGCCCUUUACCAUAUACUAUGAGUCUGAUGAGAAUAAGAGAGAAUAUUUGACACGAACACUGAAGGUGACAUUUAAACAAGUGUCUCGGACACUGAAGCAGCUGCACUAUGUGAACUGGCCGGAUCACGGAGUACCGGACUCCAUUCCUGCCAUCCUGGAGCUGCUGCAGGACAUGCGGAUUUACCAGGAUCAUGAUGAGAUUCCCAUCUGUAUUCACUGCAGUGCAGGCUGUGGAAGGACAGGUGCGCUGUGUGCCAUUGACUAUACCUGGAAUCUGCUGAAGAGACAGAUGAUACCAGAGAAUUUUAGUAUCUUUGAACUGGUAAAGGACAUGCGCACACAGAGGCCCUCUGUGGUUCAGACGAAGGAACAAUAUGAACUAGUAUAUAGGACCAUCAAAUUGCUGUUGGAGAGAUAUUUGGCAGCAAUGGAUGAAUCAAAAAGAAAGGUGCCAGCUUCCUCUUCUCCUGUCACCUUAAGCAGUGGGAGUGAGCUCUCAGAUUUCAGCGACUCCGAAUCAGAGACUGGAACAGACUUUAGAGCAUUGCUUCAAACUGAGCACAGGAAUAACGAGAUGGAAAUCACUAUAAAUGAACUCAAUCACAUCACACACAAUGUCACUUCUUGGUCACAGUCUCAUUCAGAACCAUUCAGACAAGAGGUCAUCUCCACAAAACUAAAUCCUGCAGACAUGCUCAGUACUAUGAGUGAAUGGACCCAGAUUACAGAUCAGAGGUCAUUCAGAGCAGCAACUCCUCAAACAGACUUAACAACCUGUGGAUCACAAAGAACUGAGUCAUCCACCAGCUUUAACACUGAUCUCACCCACGCUGCAUGCUCAAACUAUCCCAUCAGCCUAGUACAGGAGCUGAGGCCAAGUAUGAAGCAUCUGGAGUGUGCAGAAAACCAAGAUGUCAGUCCUGCUGCCACAGACCACAACCCUAUCAUCCCCAGCACAGUCUGCUACACUGUGGAAGAUCCUUAUUUUGGCCCUGAGUCUCCACCGGUUAGCAGCAAUCACAGUGUUAUGGACUCUAUAAUUCAUGAAGCAUGGAUGGAGAACCUCUGUUUCACAAUACCUAGUUUAACCCUUAAUAAUCAGGUGUUAGAACUGCCAAAACAUGACUGCAAUGACAAAGGUGCAAAUAAACCUUCAUCGGAUGAAGACAGUCCUCCUCCUUUGCCAGAGAGAACCCCAGAGUCAUUUAUACUGGCAGAUGAUAUUAACGAUAUCAGUGAAAACACUGAGAUGUUGACAUUGGUGAUCCCAACUAGCUCAGAAUCUGAGAUUGUCGAUAAAGAUAGCCCGCCUUCACCUGUGCCCUCACUGCCUGAGAGAACUCCAGAGUCUUUUGAAAUGGCCACAGAUGAGGAUCUGGUACAAAACAUAACACAGGAAAAGCCACAGGAUGUUGUAAUGAGAGUUGGGAAAUCUCUAGAAUGGUCUGGGCAAACAAAUGAAGCUCAGACAGACAUGAAGCGAUCUUGGUCCAGAAGCAAGAGCUUAAAACUUAGAAUGUCACUUCCUGCUGCAGCAUCAUCUGCUCCACUCAGUCCUAUACUGAUCACAAGUCACAGUCCUCCUCCCCUUCUGUACAAACAACCUCAGGAAUAUCUGCACACCCCAACACCACAUGAGCAGGCAUUCAACUCAGUUCCUGGGACAGAAAGUGUAACUCCACCACUUCCUGAAAGAACUCCAGAGUCUUUCAUUUUCCACACAGAGAAAGUUGAGUGGCCGACAGCAGCGCCCCCUGUCAGCCAGCUGAGGCAGAGCAGCAGCGACUGAGAGUGGGCACGUCUUCUGAAUGGUCAGGCAGCUCCCAGUCCAGAUCAUUACUGGAUCAUUCUUGGAGCCGAAGCAAGAGCGUCAGAGCAAAAAGUUCAAACCAAGCUGUGUUUAAUUUUACAGAGGCUCUAUCUGUGGCUCCGCUGACUCUGCCUGUCGCUGUAACCAUAGCAACUGGGGACCAAGUAGAGCACCAGACGGCACCCAGCAGCCAGCCGGCAGCAACGGGACCAACAGAGAACCAGUCGGACAAGGGGGGAGAGAAAACUUCACUGGUCAGCAAGGCCAGGACCAAGAGUAUUAAGUUUUUGAAAGGAAAACAGAAGUCAAAAUUGGCCCCGCCUCCGAUCCCGCCCCCAGCCCCUCCUUCAGGCCAGUCUCCAGCCCCGCCUCAGUCUGCUCCAGCACCCUCUCAGUCUGCUCCACCACCCUAUGGUGCCGCUGUUGGUUUCUUAUUUUCUUUUGGAACUCGUUUUGGAAAGCCAAAAGGCCCACGAAAUAAGCCAGGAACAUGGGCCUAAGUUCAUGCUGAAGGUGAAAGAAAAGGAAAACAGCCUCACAAGACAGUUCAAAAGAGAAUUUACUGAGCAAAGUUUUCUUUCGCUGCGCUUUUUGAAGCAUAGAAGCACAACAACAGACCUCAGUCAAUAGAUGAAGAUAUAUAAAGAUUGUGCUUUUGUCAAUGACUUUGACAAUUUGUAAAGGUAUAAUGCAAGCGAAUGGCCUUUUUAGACUUUAAAUAUUGAAGUGUGUUGCAACUUUAUGCAACUAAGAUGUAAAUAAAAUGAUUACAGAUGUUUAACUAAAGACAAGAAAAUAAAGGGGAUGAAUGUACUGAAAACUAGACUGUUCUGUAAUCUCAUAGGUAAAUUUUUUUUAUGUAUUUUAUAAUAUAUAGCGCUGCAUGUAACCAUGGCCAGUCAAGCUUUCUAUGUUACAUAACACUGGACUUAGUAACAGCGCAUUUGGUGCCAUGUCUAUCUGAAAGGGACGAAAAUGAUUGUGAAUAUCUACUGUCAAGUUUGUUUUGUGACAGUAUUUACCUCUGCCUUUUCUUAUUUGUGUAUUUUCAAUUUCUAAUGCAGUGAAACGCUUGGUACACUCAUAAAAUGGUUUAUUUAAAAAAAUACAGAAAAAAAGUCUAUGCAUUCCAUUGCAUUUUUACACAAUUGAAAAGAUCCACAUGACAGUUCUAUUAAAUGUAAAUGUAACUUAGCAUUUACAAAACAUUACUUUGACUAUGUUCAUAAUUGACCAUCUAAUUAGUCCUUAAAAAUCAGUGAAAUCGAAAACCUUUAUACAAAUAUCAAACAGAGCAAAUAAUGAAUCAAACACACAGAGCAUGCCUUGAUCCCUAAGUGGAUUUUCCUAUAUUACAAACGACCAUCGAAACCUGAUCAACACAAAAAAAGAAAA